GUAGCUGCCCAGGGAGGUGGGAUCAAGGAAAGAAUUUUUUAAGAUGGAAGACACUUGAGCCUGUUUACUGCUGGGAGACAGCAAAUUGAGUGUGGCCAACGUGGAGAGAAGAGGAACUGAGAGAUGAAGAGGAGUCCAGCUGGCAUCAUGGAACAGAUCUAUUCUAUAACUUUUCCGUUUUGUGAACCAGUAAAUCCCUCUUACUAAGCAAGCCCAUUGAAGUUAUGUUUUGCUCACUGAGA